GCCGAAGUGGUGGAAUUGGUAGACGCGCUAGAUUCAGGGUCUAGUGGAGAGUAUCUCUGUAGGGGUUCAAAUCCCCUCUUCGGCA
rnacentral:tRNA from 1 species